CUCAUCCCCAAGCCUAUAGCGCUGCAUGGGCUUGUUGUGGCCAAAGUGCAGGACCCGCCACUUGGCCUUGUUGACCUCUCCAGUUAAUCAGGAGGGCUGGUAGAUGGCCGAGAGCGGCUUGGCAGUCACCUCUGCCAGCUCCCUCAGGAGUCUGUGGAGAGGCUCUUCCUGUCCCCCGUGCUGUGCGCUGUCUUCCUGCACUGCUGGCUCCUGACAUUUUUCACAUGGUGCUGCAUGAGGAUCGUCAUAAGUCUCUCCAUUAAGGUUAUGUAGGCGUCCAUCUGGCAGAGCAGGUCAAGAGCAUUUAGGUUGUCCGUUUCCUCUGUUCCUAAGGAAGCUGGGUCCGCUUGUCCCGUUCUCUGAAAGUGAGAGAGCAUGGGCACAGUGAAAGGGAGGCAGGCUUGUUUUGCAGAGUAUCACCCUGCAGGGCUCCGACUGGUGUGGAGCAUUUCCAGCCUCGCAGGACUGCUCAGGGCAGCCCGUGGGGCUCACACUGCCUGUGGCACACCCUGUGUUGCUCAGGGGCCUCCCACUGUGUGACAGCCCUGUGGCUGGGCAAGUGCCUGGGGAGAGGUAACGGAUCUCUGGGGUCUGAUUUCCUUGGAUGUGUUCAAGUAUAUGGCCUUUAUGGUUCCCUGCUCCCCAGCCACGGUACCCUCCCUGCCCGAUGUAUCUUGAUUGCUCACCUGUCCCCGAGGUCUUCUUAAUCUUCUCCAGUGGGCACGGGCAGUUGUCAGCAGCCAGAGAAUGGAGAAAAUUGUCAAGGGAGCUGUAAGGAGCCAGGUUCUCCCUCUUUGCAUAAGGUAGUCCCAAAGGUGGCCCAGGAUGCCAGGCAAGCUGUAGGCCUUCUGCUUGGUGCCUGGGGCCUGCUGCUUUGGGCCUUGUGGAACAGCAACUUUGCUGCCCUUGUAC
ensembl:lncRNA